rnacentral:pre_miRNA from 1 species
UUUAAGUGCAACCAUGAGUUUUCGAGUCUAACUUUGAUCAUCCGUCUUAUUUAAAUAUUUUUAUAAUUAGUAUUUUUAUUGUUAUAAGAUGAUAAAAUAUGAAUAGUAUUUUAUGUAUGAUUUAUGUUUUCAAACUUUUUAAAAAAAAUUUAAAUAAGACGAACGGUCAAAAUUAGACAUGAAAAAAUAUGGCUGCAUUUAUU